GACGAACGCUGGCGGCGUGCUUAAUACAUGCAAGUCGAACGGACAGGCGCUGCUCUUGCGGGGUUCUCGUGUGGCGAACGGGGGUGUAACACGUGUGUAUCAUCCCCUUAACUGUGGGAUAUAACUACGAGACUGGGGCGAUUAUCCGAGAUAAGCUCUUGCAGCAUGUGGUUGGAUGGUGAGAGACGGCGGUGGUGGAUGGUCUCGCGGCUUAUCAGCUGGUUGGUGGGGUAGUGGCUGACCAAGGCUUUGACGGAUAGCCGGCCUGAGAGGGUGACCGGCCACAUUGGGACUGAGAUACGGACCAGACUCCUACGGGAGGCAGAAGUGGGGAAUAUUGCACAAUGGGCGGAAGCCUGAUGCAGCAACGCCGCGUGCGGGAUGACGGCCUUCGGGUUGUAAACAGCUUUCGCCUGUGACGAAGCGUGAGUGACGGUAAUGGGUAAAGAAGCACCGGCUAACUACGUG
rnacentral:rRNA from 1 species